UGAGGAAUUACCUUCUACAAGCCAUAUGAGGCCUAGAUAAAAUGUUUUUCGAACAACCCUUUUGACAUCUUCGAUAACAACACGUAGUUUAGGAUCAGUGGAUACAUUGCCUGACAUGCCCUGCAGUACACCUGUUGAGAAUUCCAGAAAUUCAAGAGAAGUCAUGAAUAUCUUCAAUCAAAUUAUAUCCGGAGGUCUAGAAGAAGCUAACGAAGAAGAAAACACACAGGAUGAUCUUAGUAAUG